AUGCAAGUCGAGCGAUGAAACUACUUCGGUAGUGAAUUAGCGGCGAACGGGUGAGGAACACGUGAGGAAUCUGCCUUCUACACUGGGAUAACUCCGGGAAACCGGGGCUAAUACCGGGAUAUGAAACUUGGUGGCAUCACCGAGUUUGGAAAGUUUUCGGUAGAAGAUGACCUCGCGGCCUAUCAGCUUGUUGGUGAGGUAAUGGCUCACCAAGGCGACGACGGGUAGCCGGCCUGAGAGGGCGACCGGCCACACUGGGACUGAGACACGGCCCAGACUCC
rnacentral:rRNA from 2 species